rnacentral:rRNA from 1 species
GAUCAUGGCUCAGGAUGAACGCUAGCUACAGGCUUAACACAUGCAAGUCGAGGGGCAGCGAGAGGAAGCUGCUUCCUUGUCGGCGACCGGCGCACGGGUGAGUAACGCGUAUCCAACCUUCCCCAUAGUAGAGGAUAGCCCGGCGAAAGUCGGAUUAAUACUCUAUGUUGUACAACGAGGACAUCUGAAUUGUACCAAAGAUUCAUCGCUAUGGGAUGGGGAUGCGUCUGAUUAGGUAGUCGGCGGGGUAACGGCCCACCGAGCCUACGAUCAGUAGGGGUUCUGAGAGGAAGGCCCCCACAUUGGUACUGAGACACGGACCAAACUCCUACGGGAGGCAGCAGUGAGGAAUAUUGGUCGAUGGGCGCGAGCCUGAACCAGCCAAGUAGCGUGCAGGAAUGACUGCCCUAUGGGUUGUAAACUGCUUUUAUCAGGGAAUAAAGUGAGGCACGUGUGCCUUUUUGUAUGUACCUGAUGAAUAAGGACCGGCUAAUUCCGUGCCAGCAGCCGC